UACAGAGGGGGCAAGCGUUGUUCGGAAUUACUGGGCGUAAAGGGCGCGUAGGCGGCCUUCUAAGUCGAACGUGAAAUCCCUGGGCUCAACCCAGGAACUGCGUCCGAUACUGAAAGGCUUGAAUCCGGGAGAGGGAUGCGGAAUUCCUGGUGUAGCGGUGAAAUGCGCAGAUAUCAGGAGGAACACCGAUGGCGAAGGCAGGUCUCUGGGCAUUAACUGACGCUGAGGAGCGAAAGCAUGGGGAGCGAACAGG
rnacentral:rRNA from 1 species